GCCUUUGUCAAAGGACUGUGAUAGGAUGCCUCCUUUGCAAUAAGUCAGUUCAUGAAAGUUGAAGCGUUUAAGAACAGAGCAACUCAGCCAUGAAGUAGAAAAUCAUGUAAAGUUACAGAGCGGGGUCACAGAGCUGAGGUGCAUGGUCUGUAAAAGUUGCCAAUGCUUUGCUGAUUCCAUAGAGUUCUAAACUUCCACUGGCAUUAAUAUCAGAACAAAAAAUGUGCGUCAGG